UGGAUAAGAGCCGCCCGGACUAGCCAAGGAGACUGCCUGUAAGAUCUCAUAGAGAUCAAUCGAUCAAGCAAAGCAAUGCUCUCAGAGCAUUCUAAGCUAGACCUCUCUCUCCAAGAAGCCACAGGCAAGUCAUCCUUGGCUAUCUAGACAGACUCUUAUCA
rfam:Leersia perrieri chromosome 9, whole genome shotgun sequence.